rnacentral:rRNA from 1 species
UUUCUCCGCCGGCGACCGGCGCACGGGUGAGUAACACGUAUGCAACCUGCCCCUGUCAGGGGGACAACCCGCCGAAAGGCGGGCUAAACCCGCGUACAUGCCACCGGGGCAUCCCGGAGGCAGGAAAGGCUUCGGCCGGACAGGGAUGGCAUGCGGCGCAUUAGGCAGUAGGCGGGGUAACGGCCCACCUAACCGACGAUGCGUAGGGGUUCUGAGAGGAAGGUCCCCCACACUGGUACUGAGACACGGACCAGACUCCUACGGGAGGCAGCAG